CUACGGGGGGCUGCAGUGAGGAAUAUUGCACAAUGGGGGGAACCCUGAUGCAGCAACGCCGCGUGGAGGAUGACGCAUUUCGGUGUGUAAACUCCUUUUAUAUGUCAAGAAAAUGACGGUAGCAUAUGAAUAAGCGCCGGCUAACUCCGUGCCAGCAGCCGCGGUAAUACGGAGGGCGCAAGCGUUACUCGGAAUCACUGGGCGUAAAGGACGCGUAGGCGGGUUGAAAAGUCAGGUGUGAAAGCCUACAGCUUAACUGUAGAACUGCACUUGAAACUCUCAAUCUAGAGGAUGGGAGGGGCAGAUGGAAUUAGUGGUGUAGGGGUAAAAUCCGUAGAUAUCACUAGGAAUACCUAAAGCGAAGGCGAUCUGCUGGAACAUUACUGACGCUAAGGCGUGAAAGCGUGGGGAGCAAACAGGAUUAGAUACCCCCGUAGUC
rnacentral:rRNA from 1 species